rnacentral:rRNA from 1 species
AAAGAUUAAGCCAUGCAUGUCUAAGUAUAAGCGAUUAUACGGCGAAACUGCGAAUGGCUCAUUACACAAGUUAUCGUUUAUUUGAUAGCACCUUACUACUUGGAUAACCGUGGUAAUUCUAGAGCUAAUACAUGCUGAAAAUCCCAACUCCGGAAGGGAUGUAUUUAUUAGAUUCAAAACCAAUGCCCUCCGGGCUCACUGGUGAUUCAUGAUAACUUCGCGGAUCGCACGGCCUUGUGCCGGCGAUGGUUCAUUCAAAUUUCUUCCCUAUCAACUUUCGAUGUUUGGGUAGUGGCCAAACAUGGUUGCAACGGGUAACGGAGGGUUAGGGCUCGACCCCGGAGAAGGAGCCUGAGAAACGGCUACUACAUCCAAGGAAGGCAGCAGGCGCGCAAAUUACCCAAUCCCGACUCGGGGAGGUAGUGACAAUAAAUACUGAUACAGGGCCCUUUCGGGUCUUGUAAUUGGAAUGAGUACAACUUAAAUCCCUUAACGAGGAACAAUUGGAGGGCAAGUCUGGUGCCAGCAGCCGCGGUAAUUCCAGCUCCAAUAGCGUAUAUUAAAGUUGUUGUGGUUAAAAAGCUCGUAGUUGAACCUCGGGCCUGGCUGGCCGGUCCGCCUCAUCGCGUGUACUGGCCCGGCCCGGGCCCCUCCCUCUGUGGAACCCCAUGCCCUUCACUGGGCGUGGCGGGGAAGCAGGACUUUUUACUUUGAAAAAAUUAGAGUGCUCCAGGCAGGCCUAUGCUCGAAUACAUUAGCAUGGAAUAAUGAAAUAGGACGCGCGGUUCUAUUUUGUUGGUUUCUAGGACCGCCGUAAUGAUUAAUAGGGACAGUCGGGGGCAUCAGUAUUCGAUCGUCAGAGGUGAAAUUCUUGGAUCGAUUGAAGACUCACUACUGCGAAAGCAUUUGCCAAGGAUGUUUUCAUUAAUCAGGAACGAAAGUUAGGGGAUCGAAGACGAUCAGAUACCGUCGUAGUCUUAACCAUAAACUAUGCCGACUAGGGAUCGGACGAUGUUGUUUUUUUGACUCGUUCGGCACCUUACGAGAAAUCAAAGUGCUUGGGCUCCAGGGGGAGUAUGGUCGCAAGGCUGAAACUUAAAGAAAUUGACGGAAGGGCACCACCAGGGGUGGAGCCUGCGGCUUAAUUUGACUCAACACGGGGAAACUCACCAGGUCCAGACACAAUGAGGAUUGACAGAUUGAGAGCUCUUUCUUGAUUUUGUGGGUGGUGGUGCAUGGCCGUUCUUAGUUGGUGGAGUGAUUUGUCUGCUUAAUUGCGAUAACGAACGAGACCUUAACCUGCUAAAUAGCCCGCGUCGCUGCGGCGGCGCGCCGGCUUCUUAGAGGGACUAUCGGCUCAAGCCGAUGGAAGUUUGAGGCAAUAACAGGUCUGUGAUGCCCUUAGAUGUCCUGGGCCGCACGCGCGCUACACUGAAGGAAUCAGCGUGUCUUCCCUGUCCGAAAGGACCGGGUAACCCGCUGAACCUCCUUCGUGCUUGGGAUUGGGGCUUGCAAUUGUUCCCCAUGAACGAGGAAUUCCCAGUAAGCGCGAGUCAUAAGCUCGCGUUGAUUACGUCCCUGCCCUUUGUACACACCGCCCGUCGCUACUACCGAUUGAAUGAUUUAGUGAGGUCUUCGGACCGGUGCGCGGAGGCGGUUUUCCGCUCCCGAUGUUGUCGGAAAGAUGACCAAACUUGAUCAUUUAGAGGAAGUAAAAGUCGUAACAAGGUU